CACGUAGGGACCAAGCGUUGUCCGGAUUUAUUGGGCGUAAAGAGCUCGUAGGCGGUUUGGUAAGUCGGGUGUGAAAACUCAGGGCUUAACCCUGAGACGCCACCCGAUACUGCCAUGACUUGAGUCCGGUAGGGGAGUGGGGAAUUCCUGGUGUAGCGGUGAAAUGCGCAGAUAUCAGGAGGAACACCGGUGGCGAAGGCGCCACUCUGGGCCGGUACUGACGCUGAGGAGCGAAAGCGUGGGUAGCAAACAGG
rnacentral:rRNA from 1 species